CCCUUAGAUGUUCUGGGCUGCACGCGCGCUACACUGAUGCAUUCAACAAGCCUAGCCUUGACCGAGAGGUCCGGGUAAUCUUUGAAACUGCAUCGUGAUGGGGCUAGAUUAUUGCAAUUAUUAAUCUUCAACGAGGAAUGCCUAGUAAGCGUGAUUCAUCAAAUCGCGUUGAUUACGUCCCUGCCCUUUGUACACACCGCCCGUCGCUCCUACCGAUUGAAUGUGUUGGUGAGGAGCUCGGAUUGGCAGCAGUUGGUGGUUCGCCACCGGCUAUUGCUGAGAAGUCCUCCAAACCGCCCCAUUUAGAGGAAGGAGAANUCGUAACA
rnacentral:rRNA from 1 species